rnacentral:rRNA from 1 species
UACGUAGGGGGCUAGCGUUGUCCGGAAUUACUGGGCGUAAAGAGCUCGUAGGUGGUUUGUCGCGUUGUUCGUGAAAACUCACAGCUCAACUGUGGGCGUGCGGGCGAUACGGGCAGACUGGAGUACUGCAGGGGAGACUGGAAUUCCUGGUGUAGCGGUGGAAUGCGCAGAUAUCAGGAGGAACACCGGUGGCGAAGGCGGGUCUCUGGGCAGUAACUGACGCUGAGGAGCGAAAGCGUGGGGAGCGAACAGG